CCAGUGUGAAUAUAGCAGUUCCCCUCCAAUCACAAGACCAAGCUACGUGUUGAGGGUUAAGCAGAAACUCAAUUUUAAUGGAGGCACACUGGCCUUUUUUGCAAGUUUUCCAACAAGGAUGGCCCCCAGGUGAACCUUGUUGGGCACAGGGACACAAAGGGAAUAAACCAAUAAGAACAGUAAUUAACUGUACGAUACUCCCAUAACACACAUACAAUCC